GAGAGUAAUUAAUUGAUGACAAUGAUGAUUUUUUUUUUCUUCUACGUUUUAGCAUUUAAGUGACAAAAUAAUGAACAAACAAAUAUAUAAUAUUCAA
rnacentral:ribozyme from 1 species